rnacentral:rRNA from 1 species
GGGGUAACGGCCUACCAAGGCUUCGACGGGUAGCUGGUCUGAGAGGAUGUCCAGCCACACUGGGACUGAGACACGGCCCAGACUCCUACGGGAGGCAGCAGUGGGGAAUCUUGCGCAAUGGGCGAAAGCCUGACGCAGCGAUGCCGCGUGCGGGAUGAAGGCCUUCGGGUUGUAAACCGCUUUCAGCAGGGACGAAAUUGACGGUACCUGCAGAAGAAGCCCCGGCCAACUACGUGCCAGCAGCCGCGGUAAUACGUAGGGGGCGAGCGUUGUCCGGAUUUAUUGGGCGUAAAGAGCUCGUAGGCGGUUCGAUAAGUCGGAUGUGAAAUCUCCACGCUCAACGUGGAGGAGCCAUUCGAUACUGUCGUGACUCGAGUCCGGUAGGGGAGUGUGGAAUUCCCGGUGUAGCGGUGAAAUGCGCAGAGAUCGGGAGGAACACCCGUAGCGAAGGCGGCACUCUGGGCCGGUACUGACGCUGAGGAGCGAAAGCGUGGGGAGCGAACAGGAUUAGAUACCCUGGUAGUCCACGCCGUAAACGUUGGGCGCUAGGUGUGGGCCACAUUCCACGUGGUCUGUGCCGCAGCUAACGCAUUAAGCGCCCCGCCUGGGGAG